rnacentral:rRNA from 1 species
AGCUAGUUGGUAAGGUAAUGGCUUACCAAGGCUCCGAUCUCUAGCUGGUUUGAGAGGAUGAUCAGCCACACUGGGACUGAGACACGGCCCAGACUCCUACGGGAGGCAGCAGUAGGGAAUAUUGGACAAUGGGGGAAACCCUGAUCCAGCAAUGCAGCGUGAGUGACGAAGGCCUUAGGGUUGUAAAACUCUUUCAUCGGUGAGGAUAAUGACAGUAGCCGAAGAAGAAGGACCGGCUAAUUCCGUGCCAGCAGCCGCGGUAAUACGGAAGGUCCUAGCGUUGUUCGGAAUUACUGGGCGUAAAGCGCAUGUAGGCGGAACAAAAAGUUAGAAGUGAAAUCCCUGGGCUCAACCUAGGAAUGGCUUUUAAAACUUUUGUUCUGGAAUUCAGGAGAGGAAAAUGGAAUUUCCAGUGUAGAGGUGAAAUUCGUAGAUAUUGGAAGGAACACCAGUGGCGAAGGCGAUUUUCUGGACUGAUAUUGACGCUGAGAUGCGAAGGCAUGGGUAGCAAACGGGAUUAGAUACCCCGGUAGUCCAUGCAGUAAACGAUGGGUGCUAGUCGUCGGACUUUUGUUCGGUGUCGUAGCUAACGCGUAAG